CCUACGGGUGGCUGCAGUGGGGAAUAUUGGGCAAUGGGCGCAAGCCUGACCCAGCAACGCCGCGUGAAGGAAGAAGGCUUUCGGGUUGUAAACUUCUUUUGUCAGGGACGAAGCAAGUGACGGUACCUGACGAAUAAGCCACGGCUAACUACGUGCCAGCAGCCGCGGUAAUACGGAGGAUGCGAGCGUUAUCCGGAUUUAUUGGGUUUAAAGGGUGCGCAGGCGGGCUGUUAAGCCGGCGGUAAAAAUUCAGGGCUCAACCCUGUCGAGCCGUCGGAACUGGCAGUCUUGAGUGGGCGAGAAGUAUGCGGAAUGCGUGGUGUAGCGGUGAAAUGCAUAGAUAUCACGCAGAACGCCGAUUGCGAAGGCAGCAUACCGGCGCCCAACUGACGCUGAGGCACGAAAGCGUGGGGAUCGAACAGGAUUAGAUACCCGAGUAGUC
rnacentral:rRNA from 1 species